UAGGGAAUCUUCGGCAAUGGGGGCAACCCUGACCGAGCAACGCCGCGUGAGUGAAGAAGGUUUUCGGAUCGUAAAGCUCUGUUGUAAGUCAAGAACGAGUGUGAGAGUGGAAAGUUCACACUGUGACGGUAGCUUACCAGAAAGGGACGGCUAACUACGUGCCAGCAGCCGCGGUAAUACGUAGGUCCCGAGCGUUGUCCGGAUUUAUUGGGCGUAAAGCGAGCGCAGGCGGUUUGAUAAGUCUGAAGUUAAAGGCUGUGGCUCAACCAUAGUUCGCUUUGGAAACUGUCAAACUUGAGUGCAGAAGGGGAGAGUGGAAUUCCAUGUGUAGCGGUGAAAUGCGUAGAUAUAUGGAGGAACACCGGUGGCGAAAGCGGCUCUCUGGUCUGUAACUGACGCUGAGGCUCGAAAGCGUGGGGAGCGAGCAGGAUUAGAUACCCUGGUAGUCCACGCCGUAAACGAUGAGUGCUAGGUGUUGGAUCCUUUCCGGGAUUCAGUGCCGCAGCUAACGCAUUAAGCACUCCGCCUGGGGAGUACGACCGCAAGGUUG
rnacentral:rRNA from 1 species